GACGAACCGUGCGAACGUUAUUCGGAAUCACUGGGCUUAAAGGGCGCGUAGGCGGGCCGCCUGGUCCGGGGUGAAAUCCUCCAGCUCAACUGGAGAAGUGCCUUGGAUACCGGCGGCCUCGAGGGAGGCAGGGGCGUGCGGAGCUUCGGGUGGAGCGGUGAAAUGCGUAGAUAUCCGAAGGAACACCGGUGGCGAAAGCGGCGCGCUGGACCUCUUCUGACGCUGAGGCGCGAAAGCCAGGGGAGCAAACAGG
rnacentral:rRNA from 1 species